GACAGAGGCCUCGAGCGUUAGGCGGAAUCACUGGGCUUAAAGCGUGUGUAGGCGGAUCGUUAAGUACCUUGUGAAAUCCCACGGCUCAACCGUGGAACGGCUGGGUAUACUGGCGGUCUUGGGCCAUUCAGGGGCGACUGGAACAAGCGGUGGAGCGGUGAAAUGCGUAGAUAUCAAGUGGAACACCAGUGGCGAAGGCGAGUCCCUGGAAAACUCCUGACACUGAGGCACGAAAGCUAGGGGAGCAAACAGG
rnacentral:rRNA from 1 species